AAAAGAUAUACACAGAAUUUAGAUCUAAGCUGAACAAUGAUACAUUAUGUGCACUUUUGUCAUGCAAAUUUAAUCAAACUGGCAGUUGCUAUGAGUAUCAGCCUAGUUGUGAUGUGCUGAAAGCAGCAAAACAGGCCACCAUUGAAUAUAAUAAAAGUUUACAGUAGUAUGUUUUUUUUUUACAUAAAAAAAAUUGUAUUAAAGAUAUAAGAUAUUAUAGAUAA
rnacentral:lncRNA from 1 species